AUUGAACGCUGGCGGCAGGCUUAACACAUGCAAGUCGAGCGGAGCGAGGGUGCUUGCACCUUAGCUUAGCGGCGGACGGGUGAGUAAUGCUUAGGAAUCUGCCUAUUAGUGGGGGACAACAUUCCGAAAGGAAUGCUAAUACCGCAUACGCCCUACGGGGGAAAGCAGGGGAUCUUCGGACCUUGCGCUAAUAGAUGAGCCUAAGUCGGAUUAGCUAGUUGGUAGGGUAAAGGCCUACCAAGGCGACGAUCUGUAGCGGGUCUGAGAGUAUGAUCCGCCACACUGGGACUGAGACACGGCCCAGACUCCUACGGGAGGCAGCAGUGGGGAAUAUUGGACAAUGGGCGGAAGCCUGAUCCAGCCAUGCCGCGUGUGUGAAGAAGGCCUUUUGGUUGUAAAGCACUUUAAGCGAGGAGGAGGCUCUUAAGGUUAAUACCCUUGAUGAGUGGACGUUACUCGCAGAAUAAGCACCGGCUAACUCUGUGCCAGCCGCCGCGGUAACAC
rnacentral:rRNA from 1 species